rnacentral:tRNA from 1 species
CGCCGCCGGGCCGGCCCAUGGGGGCAGACCGUCGUACGCGGUCCGUGCCGCGCGUUCGGUGCGGGGGUCCGGUGUUCGAUUCGCCGGGCGGGGC